UUUUUUUCUCUUUAAUAUAUGCAUAUCAUCUUAGUGCCUUGAUUCCCUAGUUAAGCAAUAAAAUUGUAAAUGUUGAUCAACAGGCAACUCAAAGAAUUUGAACCAAAGCCAUCGUGUAAAAGAGGCACAUAUAUAAAAUUCAAACAUCUAGGAGUUGAAUGUUAAAAUUGUCAUUGAGAAGUCAAAACCCUUGAUAUAGUCAAAGCUGGACUCCAUUGCUCCUUCAAGAUGUCCAAGCAAAUACUACCGUUACUGUUAAUGUUUGGGUGAAAAACCUUUGUCCUGAAAGCAACCUAGACAAA